rnacentral:rRNA from 1 species
UAAUUAUUUCUUAUUAGGGGUGUUUGUUAGGUAUUAAAUUAAAAAUAAUAAUUUUAAUUUUAUUAAUUUAAUGAAAAAAUUAGUUUUAAUAAUAGUUUAUUAGUAUUGUAAAAGAACGAAGGGUAUAUUUUAAAAGAAAAAUUAUUAUUUUGUACCUUGUGUAUCAGGGUUUAUUAAAUAAAUUUUAAAUAUUUAAAUUUCUCGAAUUUAAAAGAGCUAUAAAUUUAUUUUUUUUAUUGUAGAAUAAAUAUUAUAAAUAAUUUUAUAGAUGUGAAAUGCUAUUCAUUUUUAAAUAUAUCUAGUUUUUUAAGAAAAAAAUUUAAUUUUAUUUUUAUUUAAUUAUUUAAUUUAAUUUUUAAUUUAGAUAGUAGUAAAAUUUAAUAAUUUAGGGGAUGAGCUUUAGAUUAUAUAUUAUAUAAUUGAGAUAGUUUUUAUUUUAUUAAAUAGGAUUAAAAGUUUUUAUUUUUUAUAGUGUUUUAUAACUAAUUUUUUGAUUAUUUUUAAUUUUUAUUAAAUUUAUUUGUUUUAUUAAAAUGAAGAUUUUAAUUAAUUAAUAUUUGGAAAAAAUGAUAAAAUUAGUAUAAUACAUAUAUAUAUAAAUAUAAUUAAAAAUUAUAGUUUAAGUAAAGGAACUCGGCAAAAUAAUUUUCACCUGUUUAUUAAAAACAUGUCUUUUUGAAUAUAUUUUAAAGUCUAACCUGCCCUAUGAUAUUUUAAAUGGCUGCGGUAAUUUGACCGUACAAAGGUAGCAUAAUCAUUAGUUUUUUAAUUGAAAGCUUGAAUGAAGGGUUGAAUGAAAAAUUAGCUGUCUCUGUUUAAAAUAUUAGAAUUUUAUUUUUAAGUUAAAAAGCUUAGAUGUUUAUAGAAGACGAGAAGACCCUAUAGAAUUUUAUAUAAUUGUGUAUUAUUUAUUUUAAGUAGUUAAUUAUUUAAUAUAUAACUAUAUUUAAUUGGGGUGAUUAAAAAAUUUAUUAAACUUUUUUUUUAUUUAAACAUUAAUUUAUGAAUGAUUGAUCCUUGUUAAAAGAUUAUAAGAUUAAAUUACCUUAGGGAUAACAGCGUUAUUUUUUUUUAGAGUUCUAAUCGAAAAAAAAGAUUGCGACCUCGAUGUUGGAUUAAAAUUUAAAUUUGGUGAAGAAGCUAGGUUGUUGAGUCUGUUCGACUUUUAAAAUUUUACAUGAUCUGAGUUUAAACCGGUGUGAGCCAGGUUGGUUUCUAUCUCUAUAAAGUUUUAGUAUUUUAGUACGAAAGGACCAAAUACUAGUUUCAUAAAUAAAAAUUGAAUUUUAUUAA